UAACUUCUCCUUUUGUUUCCUCUGCUGUUUUUCUAAAAAGCCAAUUGCAUAUUCUUGGCUCAACGCAUUCCUACACUUUGAAAACGAUUAUUGAAAUCACAUGACAAAUCCUCUUCCUCUUCAACUUCCAAUAUCUCUCUCUCUAUACAUGACGAAAUGAAGCCUCUGAGGAGACAUUGGAGAAGGAAAAUCAUCGGGUCAAUCGUCUCUUCCGUUAAGACAUCCGUCCCGUUACAUAAAGGAUCGUUCUCAGAAUAACAAAGUAAGAUGAGUGGUAGUGGAGUUAAGAGUUUCUGGAACCACAAAGACACCUGCAGAUUUCCUCAAACCCAUCUGUGAGACCGUUGUGGUGAAACUCAUUAUGGAGUGCAGUAGAGUGAUGUGAAUUUGAAUGCGCUGCAGUUUACGCCACAGAGAGCGCUAACUACAGUGUCGUCUUCCUUAUUCUGAGUUGGUGGAAGAUAAACGGAGAGUGGUGUUGUUGGUGACCGAGCGGUGAGCUUAUCAGCCGCAACUGGUUCUUCCAAAUUACAAGCUUGUGAACCAGUAAGAAUCACCUUUGUCUGAGCUCACGAUCAACUCAAAACAAAUAAUUACAAACCUCACGAUAAUGCUGGAGAAAAUGUUCAUGUUGCCAUGGCCGUCAGUUCCACCAUUUACAACAAAUCCUUGAGGUAAAUAAGGUGAAGGUGGUGGUUGAGAUUGUGGUCUGUAUACAGCUCUACUGUACUAGACUGUGGAGUUCCUCUGCACUGGAGAAUUUGUCAGUACUGAAACUACUACAUCUCCUGCUCAAAAUGCUAUUGAAAGCUUCAGCAUGGAUCCUCAUCAUUCACAUGUGCAUACUGCCAUAACGACAACACAGUUGGAGUUCUCAGGUACUGUGUCCAUUUCUAUGGGUCAGAUAGGACAAAUUUCGCUGGGUUUGUGGCAUUUGAUGGAGAGAUGACUAAGCUAAACAACUUACGUGCAGCAGAAGUUGCUCAAUUAAUGGAUCCAGGUUUGGAGAACCCCGACCAAAGACCCCUCCCACAAUGCUUAAAGGAUUUGGUUGGCACCACUAUAACUUCACAUUUAAAGCUGUCCCCAUUCAACUUUUCCUCAAAGCAGCAGUCCUUCACAUAUCAAGGAUCAUUGAUCGCAAUCAACGUUCACCACUCCCAAAAUUGCUGGAAACGGAGCUGAUGAUAACACUGGAGAUGAUAUGCUUGGAGCUGCUAAAACUACACUCUCCACUGAUGUCACCAAGGAUGGCGCUGGUGAGCGUAAUAGUGUUGAAGUCCAAGCUGACAGUGCAGACCUUCACGAGGAGAGCAUAGUUUUAGCAGCUCUACAGCCAGACGACUUACAUAGAAGUCGUCUAGACGAACAAAUCUGGAAAAAAAUAUUGAUUUCAUAGUUUCAACUAGUGAAAUAACUUGUUUAACAAAUAUAAGUCUUCUCCAAACAACCAGAAUCUCAAACAAAAGUGACUCACCAAGAAUCGUAAGUUUCCAUGGCUCUAUGACCCAUACAAAUUUUAGAAUCAAAGUUUUGGGUUUUUUGAGA